CCUACGGGUGGCAGCAGUGGGGAAUAUUGCACAAUGGGGGAAACCCUGAUGCAGCGACGCCGCGUGAAGGAAGAAGUAUUUAGGUAUGUAAACUUCUAUCAGCAGGGAAGUAAAUGACGGUACCUGUCUCAGUCGCCCCGGCUAACUACGUGCCAGCUGCCGUGGUAAUACGGAGGGGGCAAGCGUUAUCCGGAUUUACUGGGUGUAAAGGGAGCGUAGGCGGUUUAGCAAGUCAGAAGUGAAAGCCCGGGGCUCAACUCCGGGACUGCUUUUGAAACUGUUGAACUAGAGUGCAGGAGAGGUAAGUGGAAUGCCUAGUGUAGCGGUGAAAUGCUUAGAGAUUAGGCAGAACACCAGUGGCGAAGGCGGCUUACCAGACU
rnacentral:rRNA from 1 species